rnacentral:rRNA from 1 species
AGCCUUAGGAAUUUAUCUAAGGUUAGACCUGCCCAAUGUAACAUAUUAUAUCAAUGGCCGCGGUACUUUGACCGUGCUAAGGUAGCGCAAUCAAUUGGCCUUUAAUUAAGGUCAGGUAUGAAUGGAGUCACGGGGCUCAGCUGUCUCCUUAACUAAUUUUUUGAAUAUUACUAUGUAGGUGAAAAAGCCUAUAAAUAGAAGAGGGACGAGAAGACCCUUAGAGUUUCUCUUAAGCCAGAUAAGUUUUCUGUAACAGUUUAGUUGGGGCAACUUAGGAACAAUUUUAAUUUCCUGUAAAUAAUCAACCGAUUUUUAUAAAACUGAAUAAACUACCUUAGGGAUAACAGCAUAAUUUAAUAUAUAAGUUUGUGACCUCGAUGUUGGACUAGGAAAUCUAUGGGCUAGCCGCCUCUAGAGUAAGUUCUGUUCGAACUAUUAUUCCU